CUACGGAGGAUCCGAGCGUUAUCCGGAUUUAUUGGGUUUAAGGGGUGCGCAGGCGGGAGAUUAAGUCGGCGGUGAAAUUUUGCAGCUCAACUGUAAAAGUGCCUUCGAAACUGGUUUCCUUGAGUGGAGAUGAAGGAGGCGGAAUUUGUGGUGUAGCGGUGAAAUGCAUAGAUAUCACGAGGAACUCCGAUUGCGCAGGCAGCUUACUAAACUACUACUGACGCUCAGGCACGAAGGCGUGGGGAUCAAACAGGAUUAGAUACCCUGGUAGUCCACGCAGUAAACGAUGAUUACUAGCUGUUUGCGAUACAAUGUAAGCGGCUGAGCGAAAGCGUUAAGUAAUCCACCUGGGGAGUACGUUCGCAAGAAUGAAACUCAAAUGAAUUGACGGGG
rnacentral:rRNA from 1 species